GCGGCGGGCGCCGCGGUGCCUUGUGUGGGAUGUAAGCGCGGAGGUGGGCUCGGGGGACCGAAGCCAGGACUCUCCUUGGGACUUGCGGGAGGCUGCUUUAGGCCACCGCCCGCCGCCAUGGGGCUGAAGGCCGCCCAGAAGACGCUGUUCCCUCUGCGCUCUAUCGACGACGUGGUGCGCCUGUUCGCUGCGGAGCUGGGCCGAGAGGAGCCUGACCUGGUGCUCCUCUCCUUGGUUCUGGGCUUCGUAGAGCAUUUCCUGGCUGUCAACCGUGUCAUCCCCACCAACGUGCCGGAGCUCACCUUCCAGCCCAGCCCGGCACCCGACCCUCCUGGUGGCCUCACCUACUUCCCAGUGGCCGACCUAUCCAUCAUUGCUGCCCU
rnacentral:lncRNA from 1 species